UAGGGAAUAUUGCGCAAUGGGCGAAAGCCUGACGCAGCGACGCCGCGUGAGGGAUGACGGCCUUCGGGUUGUAAACCUCUUUCAGCACCGACGAAGCGCAAGUGACGGUAGGUGCAGAAGAAGCGCCGGCUAACUACGUGCCAGCAGCCGCGGUAAGACGUAGGGCGCGAGCGUUGUCCGGAUUUAUUGGGCGUAAAGGGCUCGUAGGCGGCCUGUCGCGUCGAUCGUGAAAACUGGGGGCUUAACUUCCAGCUUGCGGUCGAUACGGGCAGGCUUGAGGUAGGUAGGGGAGAACGGAAUUCCACGUGUAGCGGUGAAAUGCGCAGAUAUGUGGAGGAACACCGGUGGCGAAGGCGGUUCUCUGGGCCUAUCCUGACGCUGAUGAGCGAAAGCGUGGGGAGCGAACAGG
rnacentral:rRNA from 1 species